AUCAAUGGCGGGCCGGGUGGGGACACCUUCGGGUGUGCCGGUUUCGUGUAGCCGGUCGGCCAACCCCGCCUUGGUCUGCCACCCUU
rnacentral:antisense_RNA from 1 species